GAGCUCGUAGGCGGUUUGUCGCGUCUGCUGUGAAAUCCGGAGGCUCAACCUCCGGCCUGCAGUGGGUACGGGCAGACUAGAGUGCGGUAGGGGAGAUUGGAAUUCCUGGUGUAGCGGUGGAAUGCGCAGAUAUCAGGAGGAACACCGAUGGCGAAGGCAGAUCUCUGGGCCGUAACUGACGCUGAGGAGCGAAAGGGUGGGGAGCAAACAGGCUUAGAUACCCUGGUAGUCCACCCCGUAAACGUUGGGAACUAGUUGUGGGGUCCAUUCCACGGAUUCCGUGACGCAGCUAACGCAUUAAGUUCCCCGCCUGGGGAGUACGGCCGCAAGGCUAAAACUCAAAGGAAUUGACGGGGACCCGCACAAGCGGCGGAGCAUGCGGAUUAAUUCGAUGCAACGCGAAGAACCUUACCAAGGCUUGACAUAUACGAGAACGGGCCAGAAAUGGUCAACUCUUUGGACACUCGUAAACAGGUGGUGCAUGGUUGUCGUCAGCUCGUGUCGUGAGAUGUUGGGUUAAGUCCCGCAACGAGCGCAACCCUCGUUCUAUGUUGCCAGCACGUAAUGGUGGGAACUCAUGGGAUACUGCCGGGGUCAACUCGGAGGAAGGUGGGGAUGACGUCAAAUCAUCAUGCCCCUUAUGUCUUGGGCUUCACGCAUGCUACAAUGGCCGGUACAAAGGGCUGCAAUACCGCGAGGUGGAGCGAAUCCCAAAAAGCCGGUCCCAGUUCGGAUUGAGGUCUGCAACUCGACCUCAUGAAGUCGGAGUCGCUAGUAAUCGCAGAUCAGCAACGCUGCGGUGAAUACGUUCCCGGGUCUUGUACACACCGCCCGUCAAGUCAUGAAAGUCGGUAACACCUGAAGCCGGUGGCCUAACCCUUGUGGAGGGAGCCGUCGAAGUGGGAUCGGUAAUUAGGACGAAGUCGUA
rnacentral:rRNA from 1 species